GUGGGGAAUAUUGGACAAUGGGGGAAACCCUGACGCAGCAACGCCGCGUGAGUGAUGAAGGCUUUCGAGUCGUAAAACUCUGUCAAGUGGGAAGAACCUGAUAGAUAUUAAUACCAUCUAUCAAUGACGGUACCACUAAAGGAAGCACCGGCUAACUCCGUGCCAGCAGCCGCGGUAAUACGGAGGGUGCAAGCGUUAUUCGGAUUUAUUGGGCGUAAAGGGCGCGUAGGCGGUCUCUAAAGUCAGAUGUGAAAGCCCGAGGCUUAACCUUGGAAGUGCAUUUGAAACUUAGGGACUUGAGUAUGGGAGAGGGAAGUGGAAUUCCUGGUGUAGCGGUGAAAUGCGUAGAUAUCAGGAGGAACACCAGUGGCGAAGGCGACUUCCUGGACCAAUACUGACGCUGAGGCGCGAAGGCGUGGGGAGCAAACAGGAUUAGAAACCCUAGUAGUCC
rnacentral:rRNA from 1 species